UACAGAGGGUGCAAGCGUUAAUCGGAAUUACUGGGCGUAAAGCGCGCGUAGGUGGUUUGUUAAGUUGGAUGUGAAAUCCCGCGGCCCAACCGUGGAACUGCCUUUGAUACUGGCGAACUUGAGUGCGUGAGGGGUAGGGGGAACGAGCAGUGUAGCGGUGAAAUGCGUAGAUAUUGCUCGGAAGGCCAGAGCCGAAGGGGCCCUACUGGUGCGUAACUGACACUGAGGCACGAAAGCGUGGGGAGCAAACAGGAUUAGAUACCCGGGUAGU
rnacentral:rRNA from 1 species